CACCGAGAUAAGAGAUGUCAAAUGAUUGCGAACAUCUGGACAUCAAGACGAUUGUUGCAAAGGUAAAGUGCUGCCUUUCAAAUACAGACCCUGUUCACCAUCCAUGUUCAAGCCAUUGUUCAAGAUAUGAUGUAAGAAUUUUCAUUUCUGGAUGAGCUGUCCCUUUAAGCCCUGAUGUCAAUUAAACAAAAAAAUACUCCUCCCUAUUGUGAAAUAUAUUAAC